UUUCCAUGUCGAGAAUAGGCUAACAGCUCCUCAUUUUCAUUUUCCAUUUCCAUCUUGCAGCACUCACGGUCAACGGCACUGCCCAUACACUCAGUCCACCCUGGCGGGGACCUCACCAAUGACCUCCAUGAAAACAGGGUCCCAGACAAGCCAGUUGGUCUGAAGGCCGUGGCGCUGACUGACCACAUCAGGGUGUGCUGGCAGCCCCCCGCACAGCACAAUGUGAUGCUGUGCGGCUACACCAUUGCCUGGGACCGAGGCGUGGCGGACAUCUACUCCAAGAUCGUGGACAGCAAGCAGCGCGGUUACUUCAUUGAUAACCUGGAACCCAACAUGGAGUUUGUGAUAAGCCUGUGAGCCUUCAACAACGUGGGUGACGGGCAACCGGUGUACCAGCAAGUCCACACCCAGCCAGAGGAGGAGGAGGUGGUGGCACCCACGCUGGACCCGGCGGUGGGGGUGAAGGCCGUGGUGCUGACGCCCUUCACUGUGGUGCUGCAGUGGGCGGACACCAUGCUGAGCCAGAACCAGUACAACAGCUGCACCACCUUCUCGUCCUCAUCCUCCAGCCGCUACGUCAACGCCACGGAUGUGACCUGCCUCAUUGACAGCCUCAAGCCAUCAACAGUGUGUGAGUUUGCUGUGAAGACCAUCAGGGUGAGACCACAGUGCUGGAAGCCUUCGUUCUUCUUUCAGUAAAUAUUCACUCAGUCCUGCAACACUUCUCAAGGAAAUCCUGCACAGCUGAAUCCUUGCUGUGAUGAGGCACAGAGAAAUUAUGACUCAUAGGGUUUGGUGUGAGUCCCCCUAUAGCCUGGUAGCCUCCAACACCCUGCUGGUGGCCCAGCCGUCCUGGCCCUCCCUGGCCAGCCAUCCACCACCACCUUCACCCGGCAGCCGCUGCAGCGGAACAAUGGGAGGAUCACAGGCUACGUGAUAUUCCUCACCACGGACCAAACUGUCAGUGACUGGGUGACGGGGGAAGUGACGGGGGACUGGCUCACCCUCACCGUCCAUGGACUGACGCUUCAAGGAAGUAUUUGCACAAGAUGCACUCUCACAAUGUCAAAGGUUUUGGUCCAUUCUCCCCCGUGGAAAGCUUCACGACUCUUUCAGCUGUUGACAAGAGCAUCGGUGAGCCCCCUGGCUGGUGUGUUGAGCGAGAGGCCUGAUUGUGCUGGUGAUCGCUGGCGUGGCAGGAGCCAUGACCAGCUGGGGGCCUUCUUGGCCACCACACUGUACUGCCGCGGGUCAAGGCGGAGCCCAGGCCAAGCAUUGUGUAAGGUGGCAGGACAGUUUCUUGUUGGUGUGUUUCAUCCCAUGACUCAUUUCAGCAAUCCUUUACACUGACUGCAGGAACUUUUUAUUCACUUUGUAAUAUGGAGAACAAGGCUGCAGGGCAUAGUCCACAAAGACUUAAGUUUGCCAAGAUUAGAGAAAGAAAAAGAAAGGUAAACUUGUUCAUAGGAAAUGUUCAAGAUGGACUUUCAUUUUGUGCUAUACAUAGUUGCAGGGUAACAAGUGACCUCUGUUUGUGAUAUCUGUGUCUCUUGGUGGAGCAGCUAACACGUGUUUCUAACUUGUGAUUGCUUGCAGUGUGCUGGCU